rnacentral:rRNA from 1 species
CGGCUCAGUAACACGUAGCUAACCUACCCUCGGGUCGCGGAUACCCCCGGGAAACUGGGGCUAAUCCACGAUAGGUGUGGAGGCCUGGAAUGGUUCCACGCCCAAAGGCACAACGAUCAUGUUUGUUGUGUGCCCGAGGAUGGGGCUGCGGCCGAUCAGGCAGUUGGCGAGGUAACGGCUCACCAAACCUUUGACCGGUACGGGCCAUGAAAGUGGUAGCCCGGAGAUGGGCACUGAGAUAGGGGUCCAGGCCCUACGGGGCGCAGCAGGCGCGAAAACUCCACACUGUACGUAAGUACGAUGGGGUUACCUCGAGUGUAGUCUGUAAAAGAUUGCUUUUCCAUAGAGUAAUAUCCUGUGGGAAUAAGAGGGGGGCAAGACUGGUGUCAGCCGCCGCGGUAACACCAGCCCCUCGAGUGGUAGGGACUUUUAUUUGGCCUAAAGCGUUCGUAGCCGUCUGUAACCGUUGCCCGUUAAAUCCAGCGUCUCAAGCGUUGGACUGCGGGCGAUACCUUACAGAUUGAGGGUGGGAUAGGUAAGCGGUAUUUCUGGGGUAGGGGCGAAAUCCUUUGAUCCCAGGAGGACCACCAGUGGCGAAGGCUGCUUACUAGAACACGCCUGACGGU